CUGCGUUUUGAAAACUCUCUACUUUCUCUUCCUUCCAAGACCCUCCUCUCUUCCUCAUUCCCAUCGUCUUCCGCAGAAAGGCAGAAGCAGCCUUCCAUCCCAGUCGAAAAUCAUUCCCAGUUGAAGAAAGAACCCACAAACCCACGUUUCAGCUUCGUACCGAAGAACCACUGACGCACAAACCCACGAACAAGCCUCGAACCCAAGAGCCAGAAACCCAAUUUCAACCCACAAAUCGACAAACUAGAGCCACGAAAUCCAGUUCUGAAAUCCCGCUUUCCCACAGAGCACCGAUUAAAAUAACCCUAACCCUAACCUCAAAAAAUCGGGUUAGUUUUCUCCUUUUUAUGUCUUUUCGUUUUGGUUUCCAACAUUUCCCACUCUCAGAUCUGGAAUCAACCCGAGCACGCCUGCAUUUCGUCUGAAAGCAAGAAAUUUCUUUUUUUUCUUUGAAAUCUGGAGGAGCGUGAACUUGGAGGUCAAUUUUUGGUGGGUAUUGGGUUAAUUGCACAAAUAAAUGUUGGGUUGGUCACAUAUCUGAACACUUUUGAGCUUCUGGGUGGGCGUGUGUCGAAGGGAAUUUGAUAAUGGAGCAUGUGAUUGCUGGGAAGUUUAAGCUGGGGGGAAAGAUUGGGAGUGGGUCCUUUGGGGAGCUCUAUCUAGCCAUUAAUGUACAAACUGGAGAGGAGGUGGCUGUUAAGCUGGAAUAUGUGAAGACCAAGCAUCAAUAACCUGUUACGGAAGGAGAAAGAUCUCAAGAAGAUGGUCGAGUUUCUUGAAAAGAGUGAGAUUGACCUUCGUAAGAUAGUGGAUCAGCUCGAGAAGAAGUUGGGGCAUC